UACGAAGGGGGCUAGCGUUGCUCGGAAUCACUGGGCGUAAAGGGUGCGUAGGCGGGUCUUUAAGUCAGGGGUGAAAUCCUGGAGCUCAACUCCAGAACUGCCUUUGAUACUGAGAUCUUGAGUUCGGGAGAGGUGAGUGGAACUGCGAGUGUAGAGGUGAAAUUCGUAGAUAUUCGCAAGAACACCAGUGGCGAAGGCGGGUCUCUGGGCCGAUACUGACGCUGAGGAGCGAAAGCGUGGGGAGCGAACAGG
rnacentral:rRNA from 1 species